AUAAUGGGUCAGCGACUUAUAUUCUGUAGCAAGGUUAACCGAAUAGGGGAGCCGAAGGGAAACCGAGUCUUAACUGGGCGUUAAGUUGCAGGGUAUAGACCCGAAACCCGGUGAUCUAGCCAUGGGCAGGUUGAAGGUUGGGUAACACUAACUGGAGGACCGAACCGACUAAUGUUGAAAAAUUAGCGGAUGACUUGUGGCUGGGGGUGAAAGGCCAAUCAAACCGGGAGAUAGCUGGUUCUCCCCGAAAGCUAUUUAGGUAGCGCCUCGUGAAUUCAUCUCCGGGGGUAGAGCACUGUUUCGGCAAGGGGGUCAUCCCGACUUACCAACCCGAUGCAAACUGCGAAUACCGGAGAAUGUUAUCACGGGAGACACACGGCGGGUGCUAACGUCCGUCGUGAAGAGGGAAACAACCCAGACCGCCAGCUAAGGUCCCAAAGUCAUGGUUAAGUGGGAAACGAUGUGGGAAGGCCCAGACAGCCAGGAUGUUGGCUUAGAAGCAGCCAUCAUUUAAAGAAAGCGUAAUAGCUCACUGGUCGAGUCGGCCUGCGCGGAAGAUGUAACGGGGCUAAACCAUGCACCGAAGCUGCGGCAGCGACACUAUGUGUUGUUGGGUAGGGGAGCGUUCUGUAAGCCUGUGAAGGUGUACUGUGAGGUAUGCUGGAGGUAUCAGAAGU
rnacentral:rRNA from 1 species